ACAGAGGGGGCAAGCGUUGUUCGGAUUCACUGGGCGUAAAGGGUGCGUAGGUGGCCAGGUAAGUUUGAUGUGAAAGCUCGGAGCUUAACUCCGAAAUGGCAUUGAAUACUAUCUGGCUUGAGGGUCGGAGGGGAGACUGGAAUUCUCGGUGUAGCAGUGAAAUGCGUAGAUAUCGAGAGGAACACCAGUGGCGAAGGCGAGUCUCUGGACGACAUCUGACACUGAGGCACGAAAGCUAGGGGAGCAAACAGGA
rnacentral:rRNA from 1 species